rnacentral:lncRNA from 1 species
GGCAGGUGGUUUCCAAAAGGAAAAGCUUUGGGAGAUAGAAGUCCUCGUUUUGACCUCUGCCCUCCUUGUACACCAGGAGCCAGAAAAACUUCAUCUCUUUUACAAGAAACAUUGAGAUUCCUGUAAAAUUAAGAAAUCACACAAUUUGAUGGUCUACAUUAUCUAAAGCAAAUGAGACUUCUAUUUGGAACAAAGACUACCUUGUUGGGAAAUGAGUCUGCAAGUUAAAGUAUUUUCUGAAAGAUGGUAUCUGUAUCAUCUAGACUGUGUUUGCCCUGAGGAGAAACUAAGACAGACAUGCCCAAAGGCUGAACUCAAUAUCUUUGUAGAAAUUAUUAAAAACAAUAUCACCUUUAGCCUUUAACAAGACCUUUUCAGACCAAAGUGCCCUCAAUACCAGAGCAUGUAGUCACCCACCCCAGGUUGACCCCGGAAGUAUGAGAGAGCUAGGGUGGGAGCCAGAGGCUGAGACAAGAAAGGGGGUGACCUAGUUCAUGCCAAAUGAAUCUCACAAGCAAGACUAGAUUGUAAAAUCAGCAAAGUCGCUCACA